rnacentral:lncRNA from 1 species
GUUUCCCGGCAGGCGUGUGGCCGCGGUGCGCGGGAUCCCCCCUCCCGCGGGUGCCCGUCGGGGCGGCGGCGGCUCCCGGCGCAGGGUCCCGGUCCCGGUCCCGGUCCCGGUCCCGGUCCCGGUCCCGGGGUGCGAGUGGCAGCAUUGCUGGGAUGUUCCAAAGUUACUCAGGUAAUGCUGCUGUGAGCUGUCUUCCUGCCAGCCAGGUUUCUAAGCUGAGUUGAAAGCAGACUUCCAAGAGAAACCAGCUCUCAAAAACUCCCAUUGUGACUCAGUGGUAAGACCUACGAUCUUAAAAAGCAGUGGAACUGCAAAGGGAAAGUGAAGAAGAUAGUGUUUUCUCGGUGAAUGCAGUCAUCUUGACCAAAAUGACUAUUGUCUUACUACCAUCUUUGAAACACUUGCUGGCAGCUUCCACAACAGAUGAUGAAGCUCAAAUGG